ACGGGUGAGUAAUGUCUGGGAAACUGCCUGAUGAGGGGGAUAACUACUGGAAACGGUAGCUAAUACCGCAUAACGUCGCAAGACCAAANAGGGGGACCUUCGGGCCUCUUGCCAUCAGAUGUGCCCAGAUGGGAUUAGCUAGUAGGUGGGGUAACGGCUCACCUAGGCGACGAUCCCUAGCUGGUCUGAGAGGAUGACCAGCCACACUGGAACUGAGACACGGUCCAGACUCCUACGGGAGGCAGCAUG
rnacentral:rRNA from 1 species